AAGCGUAUUAGCGGAAGUUUUCGGAUGGAAGCGGAUAUGACUUAGCGGCGGACGGGUGAGUAACGCGUGGAUAACCUGCCUCAUACAGGGGGAUAACAGUUAGAAAUGACUGCUAAUACCGCAUAAGCGCACAGGACCGCAUGGUCCGGUGUGAAAAACUCCGGUGGUAUGGGAUGGAUCCGCGUCUGAUUAGCUGGUUGGUGAGGUAACGGCCCACCAAGGCGACGAUCAGUAGCCGACCUGAGAGGGUGGCCGGCCACAUUGGGACUGAGACACGGCCCAAACUCCUACGGGAGGCAGCAGUGGGGAAUAUUGCACAAUGGGGGAAACCCUGAUGCAGCAACGCCGCGUGAGUGAAGAAGUAUUUCGGUAUGUAAAGCUCUAUCAGCAGGGAAGAAGAAAGACGGUACCUGACUAAGAAGCCCCGGCUAACUACGUGCCAGCAGCCGCGGUAAUACGUAGGGGGCAAGCGUUAUCCGGAUUUACUGGGUGUAAGGGGAGCGUAGACGGCUGUGCAAGUCUGAAGUGAAAGCCCGUGGCUCAACCGCGGAACUGCUUUGGAAACUGUAUAGCUUGAGUACUGGAGAGGCAGGCGGAAUUCCUAGUGUAGCGGUGAAAUGCGUAGAUAUUAGGAGGAACACCAGUGGCGAAGGCGGCCUGCUGGACAGAAACUGACGUUGAGGCUCGAAAGCGUGGGGAGCAAACAGGAUUAGAUACCCUGGUAGUCCACGCGGUAAACGGUGAAUGCUAGGUGUUGGGGAGCAAAGCUCUUCGGUGCCGUCGCAAACGCAGUAAGCAUUCCACCUGGGGAGUACGUUCGCA
rnacentral:rRNA from 1 species